rnacentral:tRNA from 1 species
CAUUGAGAAGCUAUGAAUCAGCACUAGCCUUUUAAGCUAACAAAAGAGGGUACUCUCCUCCUCAAUGA